AUUGAACGCUGGCGGCAGGCUUAACACAUGCAAGUCGAGCGAGCGGCGGACGGGUGAGUAAUGUAUGGGAAACUGCCUGAUGGAGGGGGAUAACUACUGGAAACGGUAGCUAAUACCGCAUACCAUCGGAUGUGCCCAUAUGGGAUUAGCUAGUAGGUGGGGUAAUGGCUCACCUAGGCGACGAUCCCUAGCUGGUCUGAGAGGAUGACCAGCCACACUGGAACUGAGACACGGACCAGACUCCUACGGGAGGCAGCAGUGGGGAAUAUUGCACAAUGGGCGCAAGCCUGAUGCAGCCAUGCCGCGUGUGUGAAGAAGGCCGUCGGGUUGUAAAGUACUUUCAGCGGGGAGGCGUUACUCGCAGAAGAAGCACCGGCUAACUCCGUGCCAGCAGCCGCGGUAAUAC
rnacentral:rRNA from 1 species